ACCAUCGUUACAGCUCGUAUAAAUAUCAGCACAUGUGUGAGGUCCAUGGGUCUGCCAUCUAUCCAUGCUUGAUCUUCUGAGGAAACCGGGAGCUCACUGUCCGGUGCCCCCUUUUGGCCCUACAAAGGCUGUCGGGGCUUAGGACCGCAAAAGCAUACGGGGUGUCCUGGUUAACCCGCGCACCUUCCCGCAACGACACUCGGCUUCCGGGCCGGGGACGCUCGCUGGACGCCGGGCGGGAGAUAUCUUCUAGGCUUCCCUUCGUGAUGUCCAUGGCGGCCAGAGGUGGAUGGGUGUCUGCUCACCGACAACAGAUGUGACGCUCCAUACCCCAGCUUGUGCUGCCAUGUAAAACCUCAUUGAUCAUGUUCCUCCCAGCCAUUACGGAGGAGCUAAGGGAAGCUCGACCCCCCCCCCCCC